CAUGCCGUGCCGGGCUGGCCUGCUCAGAUGUAUGGGGCUGUCCAGUGUCAGACUAUCAACCUGAAAGGGAUUUUAGCUUUCUUUAGUGGUUAGCGAGGUGGUCAGGGGAGCAAUAGUGGGCUCUCUCUAAGCAUCUAAUACCCAGUACUGGGCCUCUAGUCCGUCACAGACACCUUAUCCUGGUCUCACACAUCUUGGACACACUGGACAUUACCGACACCGGCCCGGGCUGGCUCUGGUAGCCACAGACUGUAGCGGUGUAGAUGGCCGCAGCACCGAGGUCAAAGUCCCCUUGCCGACGCCCAUACAGCCACAUGCCACACUCCAGCAUGCAGAAAUCCAGUCACAGGACGAGCCAACAGAACAUCUGACCAUGAAGCUUGCCAGGCUGUGGAUCCUACAGGUCUGCAAUCACAGAAAAAGCAUAUAAUUCUCCAUCCAUAUAAAGGUCAACAAAUGGGCUGGAGAGAUUGGUACAGAGGGAAUGGUGUAAAGUGGAGAGAGACAACUCGUCUAAAGACGCAGGCAGGCACAGCCCUCUCCAUCACUGGUGCCCCUGACAACACAGGAAAUGGAUCCCACCCGGUGGCAGCCUCAGCCUCCACACUGUUUAGCACCACAAUUAUCCCCCAUUCAUUCACAGGCUGGAUGAACCAUAUAAGGCCAACUGUGAUUCAACGACGAUCAGCGCAAUGUGAAACCACGAGUCUGGCCUGGCAAUUUAAUGUAAUUGUGCUGCUGUGAUCUUCUGUAGUAGGUGAGGCACCUCCUUUAUUGUGCCAUUCUAUUGGAAAUUAAAAUGAAGGAUUCUUUGAUUUUAGGUGGACACAGUAAUCAUAUCUGGAAGAGGUACAAUGGUGUAGUAUAAUGUGGCUGAGAUCAAACAGAAUGGGGGAAAACUAACAGUGGUAUAAAGUACUUAAGUACAAAUACUUUAAAGUACUACUUAAGUCGUU